rnacentral:rRNA from 1 species
UACGUAGGGUGCAAGCGUUAAUCGGAAUUACUGGGCGUAAAGCGUGCGCAGGCGGUUCGGAAAGAGAGGUGUGAAAUCCCAGGGCUUAACCUUGGAACUGCACUUUUAACUACCGGGCUAGAGUACGUCAGAGGGGGGUAGAAUUCCACGUGCAGCAGUGAAAUGCGUAGAGAUGUGGAGGAAUACCGAUGGCGAAGGCAGCCCCCUGGGAUGAUACUGACGCUCAUGCACGAAAGCGUGGGGAGCAAACAGG